AACGCAGCACUGCUGUGCGGCGUGCCUAAUACAUGCAAGUCGAGCGAAUGGAUUGAGAGCUUGCUCUCAUGAAGUUAGCGGCGGACGGGUGAGUAACACGUGGGUAACCUGCCCAUAAGACUGGGAUAACUCCGGGAAACCGGGGCUAAUACCGGAUAACAUUUUGAACUGCAUGGUUCGAAAUUGAAAGGCGGCUUCGGCUGUCACUUAUGGAUGGACCCGCGUCGCAUUAGCUAGUUGGUGAGGUAACGGCUCACCAAGGCAACGAUGCGUAGCCGACCUGAGAGGGUGAUCGGCCACACUGGGACUGAGACACGGCCCAGACUCCUACGGGAGGCAGCAGUAGGGAAUCUUCCGCAAUGGACGAAAGUCUGACGGAGCAACGCCGCGUGAGUGAUGAAGGCUUUCGGGUCGUAAAACUCUGUUGUUAGGGAAGAACAAGUGCUAGUUGAAUAAGCUGGCACCUUGACGGUACCUAACCAGAAAGCCACGGCUAACUACGUGCCAGCAGCCGCGGUAAUACGUAGGUGGCAAGCGUUAUCCGGAAUUAUUGGGCGUAAAGCGCGCGCAGGUGGUUUCUUAAGUCUGAUGUGAAAGCCCACGGCUCAACCGUGGAGGGUCAUUGGAAACUGGGAGACUUGAGUGCAGAAGAGGAAAGUGGAAUUCCAUGUGUAGCGGUGAAAUGCGUAGAGAUAUGGAGGAACACCCAGUGGCGAAGGCGACUUUCUGGUCUGUAACUGACACUGAGGCGCAAAGCGUGGGGAGCAAACAGGAUCACAUACCCUGGUAGUCCCCGC
rnacentral:rRNA from 1 species